CGCUCAUGUUUCCAUGUCCCUCGCCACGCCACAGUAAGUUUUUGUUUGUUCUGUAAUCCUGCUCUGCAGCGCUGUUUGUUUUGCAUUAAACCCCCUUGUCCCUGAACCGUCUGCCUCCGCCUCUGCUACUGGAUCCAACCGGCUCUCGAGCCACCCCCGCACAUGACAGCAACUGCAUUUGAUUACUUUGAUGUUCUAAAAACGCUUUUGGGAACUAGCUAAUGUUGUUGAGAUUGGGAACUACUUGCAAACCAAGCAGACACAUUUCCUGUAAACUGGACCAAUAGCUAUUUGUCAGUCACUGAUUUUGCAAGUUGUCCCACUUAAAGUUGGAUCUGUAAUGUUCUUCACAGAAACAUUUCAAAAAACCUCACAGCUCUUGAGAAGAUCUGUCUGGAAGAAUGGACCAAAAUAGCAGCUAGAGUGCAAACCUGCUGAAGACCCACAGGAAACCUUUGACCUCUCUCAUUACCAGUGUUACCUCAUAAAGUAUUCAGGGGAACUUUUGUUAUUGAUCAAAUGCGUAUUUUCUGCAAUAUUAAACAAAUACAUUCUUCAAAGAUCAAGUGUGAUUUCCUGGAUUUUCUUACAUUCUGUGUCCUGUGUGUCUAUGAUGAACAUUAGAGACCAAACUCAUCUUUUUUUAAAUGGGACAACUCACAGGAUCACCAAGUGACAAAUACUUUUUUUAUCCCUUUCUUUUUGCUCAGACUUCUUUGGCUGAAUGUAUGAAUGUAAAUAUAGUUGCUCAUUGGGUGGUGCAGCUCAACAGUUGUCAUAUGAAUAUAUAUAGAAAACCUUCCUCUAAACAUUUCCACAGCAAUGCAUGUGUGCACCCAUCUAGAGGAUACUUUUUUAGGAAAAGGGCUUUUUUUGCAAAGCCAUCCAUCUUUCAGAACUUGCUAAGUCACUUUUCGGCGUCAGGGUUUUGCUGGUGCCAGCCCUGUUAUUGGGCGAAGGCAGGUUGCAUCCUGAACAGGUCGCCAGUUUGCUGCAGGGCCAACUCCUUUAUAGAAAAUAAUUGGUGCGUAAGCAGUUUAAACACACGUCAAGGAGGACCAAAAGCGCUUCAGCUACUGGAAGUCAAUAGCAGUUUUCUUUCCUCUUCCUGCUGAGCCAGUGGAGGCGAGCCCUGUCCGUCCGAUCCUGAGUGGCUGAUGGAAAGAGGAAAGCUGAUGAGUGGGGGGAUGUGACAGGACACAUGGAAGACUUUGGGGCAGCGGUCGCAGCACAGGAGCUCUCCGCCAUUCAGACAAACUGCAC